rnacentral:lncRNA from 1 species
UGGAUUCGGAUCGUGGGCUCGUGGAUUCGAGUGGCGUCGUGGAUUCGGCGUGAUUGAAGCUUCGUGGAUUCGAAGUGAAGGCGUUCGUGGAUUCGAACGUGAGGGCGUGGACAACCCGGAGGAUUACGCGAGAUUCAUAGGAGGUUAAAGGAGGUUGAGUCCGUAGAGUCGGUAAUCACCUUGUAAUCUUUUCUCUUAGUAAAUUAUUUUUUCGCGUGUUGGUCCCGUGGGUUUUUCUCCAAGUUGGAGUUUUCCCACGUAAAUCUCGGUGUGAUUUUUAUUUUCCGUAUUUAUUUUUAUCGCAU